ensembl:lincRNA Gm13589 predicted gene 13589
AGAGGCCCACGGGAGCCUGGGAGAUUUAGCAUUGGACCGCUGUUCUGGUUGAGCCAGGGGAGGCUGGGAAUGGGGCCAGUGGUCAGAUGGUGCCUCGCGCUGGUAGCGGAGCUCAAGACUGUCUGAGGCGGUUUGGGGAGCCACUGCAGGUUCUUAAGCUGGAGAAAAACUGAUUUGAAUCACGCUCCAGAAAGGCUCCUCCAGGUGGGAGGAUCUGGCCCUGGCAGAGACCAGAGCAGAGAAGAGGAGGCCUGGCCAGGGUCCUGGCAGUGGUUAAGAAGCCUGCCUGUGGGGACCUGGAAGUCCCGCCUCUUCCACCCAGCCAUUGGCCACUGGCAACUUUAUUAAUCAACGAAGAAGCCAUUGGAGACCAGGACCUUAAGCAUACACAUGCACAUUGCCGAUCAAAGCACCAGAACCACCCUGGACACCCAGGUUCUCUGCAAGCGCAACGAAUGUUCUUUCUUGCCAACCCAUCUCUCCAGCCCCUCCUAUCUUUCUUUUCGAGAGUCAAUGUGCUUUUUAUAAAAAAGCUUUUAAAACAUUUUCUGUUAGAUAUUUUCUUUAUUUACAUUUCAAAUGUUAUCCCCUUUCCUUGUUUCCCCUCCAAAAACUCCCUAUCCGCUCCCUGCUCACCAACCCACCCACUCCCACUUCCUGGCCCUGGCAUUCCCCUACACUGGGGCAUUGAGCCUUCACAGGACCAAGGGCCUCUCCUCCCAUUAAUGACUGACAAGGCCAUCCUCUGCUACAUAUGCGGCUGGAGCCAUGGGUCCCUCCAUAUGUACUCUUUGGUUGGUGGUUUAGUCCCUGGGAGCUCUGGGGGUACUGGUUGAUUCAUAUUGUUGUUCCUCCUAUGGGGCUGCAAACCCCUUCAGCUCCUUGGGUCCUUUCUCUAGUUCUUCCAUUGGGGAGCCUGUGUACAGUCCAAUGGUUGGCUGUGAGCAUCUGCCUCUGUAUUUGUCAGACAUUGGCAGAGCCUCUCAGGAUCCUGUCAGCAAGCACUUGUUGGCAUCCACAAUAGUGUCUGGGUUUGGUAACUGUAUAUGGGAUGGAUCCCCAGGUGGGGCAGUCUCUGGAUGGCCUUUCCCUCAGUCUCUGCUCCAUAAUUUGUCUCUGUAUCUUCUCCCAUGGGUAUUUUGUUCCCCCUUCAAAGAAUGACCGAAGUAUCCACACUUUGGUCUUCCUUCUUCUUGAGCUUCAUGUGGUCUGUGAAUUGUAUCUUGGGUAUUCUGAGCUUCUGGGCUAAUAUCCACUUAUCAGUGAGUGUAUAUCAUGUGUGUUCUUUUGUGAUUGGGUUACCUUACUCAGGAUGAUAUAUUCUAGUUCCAUCCAUUUGCCUAAAAUUUCAUAAAUUCAUUGUUUUUAAUAGCUCAGUAGUACUCCGCUGUGUAAAUGUACAUUUCCUGUAUCCAUUCCUCUGUUGAGGGACAUCUGGGUUUUUCCAGCUUCUGGCUAUUAUAAAUAAGUCUGCUAUGGUCAUAGUGGAGCAUGUGUCCUUAUUACAUGUUGGAGCAUCUUCUAGGUAUAUGCCCAGCAGUGUGCUUUUUUUUUUAAAGGAAACCUUUUAUUACUUUCUUGUGGUUUUCACACUAUGUGCCCCAAAUCCACUCAUCUCCCCAUCUCUUAGUAUCUUCUCUGCCCUUGCAGCCUUUUCCUC